UACAGAGGGUGCGAGCGUUGUCCGGAAUCACUGGGCGUAAAGGGCGCGUAGGUGGCGACCCAAGUCCAUGGUGAAAGCUCGAUGCUCAACAUCGAGUCGGCCACGGAUACUGGGUUGCUCGAGCACUGUAGAGGCUAAUGAAAUUCCGGGUGUAGCGGUGGAAUGCGUAGAGAUCCGGAAGAACACCGGUGGCGAAGGCGGUUAGCUGGGCAGUUGCUGACACUGAGGCGCGACAGCGUGGGGAGCAAACAGG
rnacentral:rRNA from 1 species